UCAAUCUGGGAUGCCUAUAUCAACAAAAAUAAAUUAGUGAAUAUACUUAGUUUUACAUCACUGAAAAAUUGUUUAUUAAACAAAUAUUCAAAGGAUACCACGGAAACGGAAAUCAUUUCCUUAUUUGGCACAAUUCAACUUGUUCAAGUCGAUCCGUACAUAAUCGAAGAAAGAAUAAUUUCUAAAAUCUUAUCCCUGAAGUACCAGCAAGGACUGGUAUUUAUAUUGUCGUAUAUAUAUCACAAUCAUUAUCCAAAAAAAUUGCUACGUCUGCAUAUCUCUAAAAAUAUAUACCUAUGAUAUGACCUUAAAUCAGGAAAAUAAUAAAAGUAAAUACUCAACUACUGUUAGUUAUCAUAAUACCUUAAACUAGAAAUGAACUUCUUAGAAACUUAUGUAGAAGUGAGAUACGUUAAUUUAGUAAUGAUCAGAAAUUCCUAUUAUGUCUACAGUUUUGUUUACACUAUGUGUAUUCAUAUUCUAGAAUCACUCUACUUUUAGUUGAGGGAACUUCUUAUAGUUUUUAAUAAGUAAUAGUAAUGGUGUAUUUACUCUGUAUUUUAUCCAAUAUCCUAUGAAAAAUCAUCAAAAACUUGUAAAUCUGGUCACUGUUUUUUUACCUAUAUUCCUAAAAUAUCGAUAAACUUUUCAACGUUCCGGUGAAGAAUUCUGCGUUGCUUACUGAAGAUAAAAUGUUUGCCAUCAUCAAUACAACAAUAAAAACAUUGCCAAACUGCAGUCGAACCAACAGAUAAUUGUACUUCCAAUAUUAUAUUUUAUUAUUACAUACGAAAUAAUAACUAUUUUUAUACUUAUGUAAAAAUAAAUAUAAGCUAAAUGAAAGUCGAAAGUAA
rnacentral:lncRNA from 1 species